rnacentral:rRNA from 1 species
GACGAACCACACGAACGUUAUUCGGAAUUACUGGGCUUAAAGGGUGCGUAGGCUGUGCAGUAAGUUAGGUGUGAAAUCCCCCGGCUCAACCGGGGAAUUGCGCUUAAAACUACUGUGCUAGAGGAAGAUAGAGGUGAGCGGAACUUCGGGUGGAGCGGUGAAAUGCGUUGAUAUCCGAAGGAACACCGGUGGCGAAAGCGGCUCACUGGAUCUUUUCUGACGCUGAUGCACGAAAGCUAGGGGAGCAAACGGG